GACGAACGCUGGCGGCGCGCCUAACACAUGCAAGUCGAACGAGCAAAGAGGAGCUUGCUUCUCUGAGCGAGUGGCGAACGGGUGAGUAACGCGUGAGGAACCUGCCUCAAAGAGGGGGACAACAGUUGGAAACGACUGCUAAUACCGCAUAAGCCCACGGGUCGGCAUCGACCAGAGGGAAAGGAGCAAUCCGCUUUGAGAUGGCCUCGCGUCCGAUUAGCUAGUUGGUGAGGUAACGGCCCACCAAGGCAACGAUCGGUAGCCGGACUGAGAGGUUGAACGGCCACAUUGGGACUGGGACACGGCCCAGACUCCUACGGGAGGCAGCAGUGGGGAAUAUUGCACAAUGGGGGAAACCCUGAUGCAGCGACGCCGCGUGAGUGAUGAAGUAUUUCGGUAUGUAAAAACUCUAUCAGCAGGGAANAUAAUGACGGUACCUGACUAAGAAGCACCGGCUAAAAUACGUG
rnacentral:rRNA from 1 species